rnacentral:lncRNA from 1 species
AACAAUGCAACAAGCAAAGGUAAGAUGAGUGGCCAAUGUGAUGGUCUUAUACUCACUUCCAUAUCCCAGGAGCAAUGGCCAAUGGAUGGUCUUACAAUUGUCCUCAAUGGGCAAACAAACAAAGAUGUGUCACAGAGACAAAUGAGAUGAUCAUGCAUUAAUGGGCAAUUAAUGAUGAUAAAUGCAUAAAGCAUACAAACAAACAUGUGCAUAUGAGGUAAACAAUCAAUCAAUGAGAAUCAAA